GGGCGGCAGCGGGGUGGGAGCUUGCUCCCACUGCCGGCGAGCGGCGCACGGGUGAGUAACACGUAUGCAACCUGCCCCUGUCAGGGGGACAACCCGCCGAAAGGCGGGCUAAGCCCGCGUAUAUCGCCCCGGGGCAUCCCGGGGGGAGGAAAGGAGCGAUCCGGACAGGGAUGGGCAUGCGGCGCAUUAGCUGGUCGGCGGGGUAACGGCCCACCGAGGCGACGAUGCGUAGGGGUUCUGAGAGGAAGGCCCCCCACACUGGUACUGAGACACGGACCAGACUCCUACGGGAGGCAGCAGUGAGGAAUAUUGGUCAAUGGGCGGGAGCCUGAACCAGCCAAGCCGCGUGAGGGAAGAAGGUACAGCGUAUCGUAAACCUCUUUUGUCAGGGAACAAAGGCGGGGACUAGUCCCCGGAUGAGGGUACCUGAAGAAAAAGCAUCGGCUAACUCCGUGCCAGCAGCCGCGGUAAUACGGAGGAUGCGAGC
rnacentral:rRNA from 1 species